GGAUCCAAUAAGAGGAGCUUUUUGUUAUCUACAUGUAUUCUCUGAAGUUGGAAUCUUAAAAAUAAGAACAAAAGGAAAUACAAGUAGAUAACAAAAGGCUGCAGGAUCCAAUAAGAGGAGCUUUUUUUUUUUGUCUUCAUUCCCAAAUUAGUCUUAUAUUCUUUUAAAGCAAUAAAUUAUAACAUGGAGAAACAGAAUGAGGAAGUUGAAAAUGGAAAUGAUACUUUGUUGAGAAAAACAGAUGCAGCUUUAUUUGCCUGGCCAUGGAACAACUUGGGAAAUUACAAGUAUUUGUUAUAUGGACCAUUUCUUGCAAAAUUUAUACAUUCCAUGUAUUGGAAAGAGAGCAUGGAGGAUAUUUGGUGUUUGCAUAUUCUUGUAUUGUGUUCUCUUAGAGGCCUUGUUCAUCAGCUAUGGAGCACUUUUAGUAAUAUGUUGUAUCUGAAUAGCACGCGAAGGGUGUCUUAUGAAGGGAUAGAUUAUGAUCAGAUUGACAAUGAAUGGGAUUGGUAUGUAUGAGUUCUUGUUAUUUCACACUUUAUGUGUAUUUCACUAAUGUUGUGUGUGUUUUGUUUGUGAUUGGAUUUCAACAGGGAUAACUUCCUUAUCCUUCAAGCGGUUGUGGGAUCGUUCGUCUACUUGAACUUCCCUUCACUGGCUAAUCUUCCUGUUUGGGAUGUAAGAGGGCUUAUUUCUUGUCUCAUACUUCAUAUUGGUAUCUCAGAGCCACUGUUCUAUUGGAUGCACAGAUUAUUGCACUCCUCUUAUCUCUUUCCGUUAUAUCACUGGCAUCACCACGAGUCCAAAAUCACACACCCCUUUACUGCUGGGCAUGGAACAUUUCUGGAACAUCUUUUGCUGUGUGUAGUUAUAGGAAUUCCAACCUUAGGCACUGCAUUUAUUGGUUACGGAUCAAUAAGCGUUAUGUACAGCUAUAUUCUGGCAUUUGAUUUCUUAAGAUGUAUGGGACACAGCAAUGUUGAAAUCAUUCCUCAUAGUCUCUACCAGCGCGUUCCACUACUUAGAUAUGUUAUUUACUGCCCGACAUACCACAGUCUACACCAUCAGGAAAUGAAGACAAAUUUCUGUCUCUUCAUGCCUCUAUAUGAUAUGUUGGGAAAUACUUUAAAUACUGCGUCGUGGAGCCUUCACAAAGAAAUAAGUUCAAGGACAAGUACAGAUGAAAGAGCACCAGAUUUUGUGUUUCUUGCACAUAUUGUUGAUAUUAUGUCAUCAAUGCAUGCCCCGCUUUUGUUCCGGUCAUUCAGCUCAGUGCCUUUCUCCACAAGGCUGUUCUUGUUACCGAUGUGGCCUUUUGCCUUUGUGGUGGUGCUUACUAUGUGGCUGAAGUCUAAGACUUUUUUGUUCAGUUUUUACAACAUAAGAGGAAGACUCAACCAAACUUGGAUUGUGCCCAGGGCUGGUUUUCAGUAUUUCUUGCCCUUUGCUGCAGAAGGCAUAAAUAAGCUCAUUGAAGAAGCUAUUCUUAGGGCUGAUAGAAUUGGUGUCAAGGUUAUCAGCCUUGCUGCAUUAAAUAAGAAUGAAAGUUUAAAUGGUGGUGGAACACUCUUUGUCAACAAGCAUCCGAAUCUCAGAGUCCGAGUAGUCCAUGGAAACACCUUGACAGCAGCAGUGAUCUUGAAUGAGAUUCCUCGAGAUGUAAAUGAGGUCUUCUUAACAGGUGCUACUUCUAAGCUUGGAAGGGCCAUUGCACUCUACCUUGCUCGUCGAAGAGUCAGAGUUCUGAUGCUCACUAAGUCCACUGAGAGAUUCAUGAAAAUUCAAAGAGAAGCUACUGUUGAGUGCCAGAAGUAUCUGGUUCAAGUGACAAAUUGCAAAGAAGCUAAACAGUGUAAGACUUGGAUUAUUGGCAAAUGGUCGACCCCUAGAGAGCAGAGCUGGGCUCCAUCAGGAACUCACUUUUAUCAGUUUGUCGUUCCUCCUAUCAUUCCCUUUCGCAGAGACUGUACCUAUGGCAAGUUAGCAGCAAUGAGACUUCCAAAAGAUGUCACUGGUUUAGGAACUUGUGAGUAUACAAUGGGAAGAGGCAUAGUUCAUGCUUGUCACGCGGGUGGGCUAGUUCAUCUUCUUGAAGGUUGGACACACCAUGAGGUUGGAGCUAUCGAUGUUGAUCAGAUUGAUGUUGUGUGGGAGGCUGCAUUAAAACAUGGUUUGAAACCUUUGUAUAAUUCAUCAUAGUGAUACCAUUUGUCUCAUAUUCAUCAAGAAAACACCUUCAUGACCUAAAAGGUUUGGAGUUGUAGCGAAGUCCGUAGAAGCCUUCCAAAGAUUGUUUAACAAGUCAACACUGCAUUACAUGUAGAAUCUAUUUGUAAUCAAACAAUAGUGUAAGCCUAAUAAAGGAAAUAAGCCAUAUAUCAUUGUACUUCCCCCAAAAAUGUACUGUUAAUGUAAGUGUUUUAUAUUUAGUUUUCUGGGGAAUUCUUGUAUUUCUCUGUGAAUAUAGAUAUGUUUUUCUGUAAUGUAUCGAGC
rnacentral:misc_RNA from 1 species